rnacentral:rRNA from 1 species
CCUACGGGAGGCAGCAGUGGGGAAUUUUGGACAAUGGGCGCAAGCCUGAUCCAGCCAUGCCGCGUGCGGGAAGAAGGCCUUCGGGUUGUAAACCGCUUUUGUCAGGGAAGAAAAGGUUCUGGUUAAUACCUGGGACUCAUGACGGUACCUGAAGAAUAAGCACCGGCUAACUACGUGCCAGCAGCCGCGGUAAUACGUAGGGUGCAAGCGUUAAUCGGAAUUACUGGGCGUAAAGCGUGCGCAGGCGGUUAUGCAAGACAGAGGUGAAAUCCCCGGGCUCAACCUGGGAACUGCCUUUGUGACUGCAUAGCUAGAGUGCGGCAGAGGGGGAUGGAAUUCCGCGUGUAGCAGUGAAAUGCGUAGAUAUGCGGAGGAACACCGAUGGCGAAGGCAAUCCCCUGGGCCUGCACUGACGCUCAUGCACGAAAGCGUGGGGAGCAAACAGGAUUAGAUACCCUGGUAGUCCACGCCCUAAACGAUGUCAACUGGUUGUUGGGAGGGUUUCUUCUCAGUAACGUAGCUAACGCGUGAAGUUGACCGCCUGGGGAGUCGGCCGCAAGGUUGAAACUCAAGGAAUUGACGGCNGAGAGNGCGAGGACGACGACGAGGGAGGAGG